rnacentral:rRNA from 1 species
UAAAGCGCAUGCAGGCGGUUUGUUAAGUCAGAUGUGAAAGCCCGGGGCUCAACCUCGGAACCGCAUUUGAAACUGGCAGGCUAGAGUCUUGUAGAGGGGGGUAGAAUUUCAGGUGUAGCGGUGAAAUGCGUAGAGAUCUGAAGGAAUACCAGUGGCGAAGGCGGCCCCCUGGACAAAGACUGACGCUCAGAUGCGAAAGCGUGGGUAGCAAACAGGAUUAGAUACCCUGGUAGUCCACGCCGUAAACGCUGUCUACUUGGAGGUUGAGGUUUAAGACUUUGGCUUUCGGCGCUAACGCAUUAAGUAGACCGCCUGGGGAGUACGGCCGCAAGGUUAAAACUCAAAUGAAUUGACGGGGGCCCGCACAAGCGGUGGAGCAUGUGGUUUAAUUCGAUGCAACGCGAAGAACCUUACCUACUCUUGACAUCCAGAGAACUUUCCAGAGAUGGAUUGGUGCCUUCGGGAACUCUGAGACAGGUGCUGCAUGGCUGUCGUCAGCUCGUGUUGUGAAAUGUUGGGUUAAGUCCCGCAACGAGCGCAACCCUUAUCCUUGUUUGCCAGCACGUAAAGGUGGGAACUCCAGGGAGACUGCCGGUGAUAAACCGGAGGAAGGUGGGGACGACGUCAAGUCAUCAUGGCCCUUACGAGUAGGGCUACACACGUGCUACAAUGGCAGAUACAGAGGGCAGCGAAGCUGCGAAGUGGAGCGAAUCCCUUAAAGUCUGUCGUAGUCCGGAUUGGAGUCUGCAACUCGAC